AGGGCUUUGUUUUAUAUUUAUUUGUGAGGGCUUGGUGCGUGCAGCCAGUGCCUGUUCUCACUUGUCCAUUCACUGAAUCCCUAUUGCUUGGUAGUAAGAACCACAACAUCUUAUGCUUACAAACAUUGCAAGUCUUCAGAUAACUUUUUUCCAAAUUCCCUGAAGCCUCAUCUAAAAUGGAUCAGUUGUUAUCCCUUAAACAAGUGCAAUAUUUAUGGAUUUUUUGUUCUUUGCAAUCUAAACCCAAAAUCACACCAGCUAGCACAUCAAACAAAGAAAAGGUAAAGAAAAGGUCUAGUUCCUGUGCAUGAAUUGUUAUACAACCCAAACUGUUCUCUGUUUUUUGUAGCCCAUUUAAAAAUGAGGAGCAAAUAAGAGAAGUAAAAGCACAAAGAAACUACAGGAUGUGAUUCAUAAAAAUCCCACAUCUCCUCUAUAUGCUCAUACAGUCUUCUUUGAAAAAAUAAAUAAAAGGUUUUGUUGUUUAGUAAUGUUCCAGUAAGUAACACACAUGCCAGAGAACAAGCAAGCUCAAAACAAUGAGCUAAAAUUAGAAGAGGCAGAUUCAGCAUCUGAAGUCACAAAUACACACAUUCUAACUUCAUAAUGUGAAGGCAUCUGGAAGAAAUAUAGUCACAUGGACAGUCUGGGUGCUGGCAUAAGGACUGCAGCUCUGAAGAUUUUUCCGUCAGCUAGAAGCUCUUCAUGGAUCCUCAAACAACAUUUUUAAACCUGUCUGUGAAAAGAGGCCAUGACUGGACCACUGCUGUGGCUGCUGCCACCCCAGAAAAGGAAUUGUGAACAAGAAUUGUGAAUCUCUACUUUAAAAGUCUCCAGGAGGCCUGUAUUAAUAAAGUACUGUACCUGCACACUGUGACAGCAAAGGAAAACAAAGAAGGAGAUAAGGGAGAAGAGCAGUGGCUCAGCACAUAUUCACUCAGAUUUACCUCACUAUUUACCCUUUCUGACAAAGAGCCAUCCAACUCUUGCUACUCCUUUUAAAGCUGCCAAUAUAAAGAACGAUUUUUCCUGGGGAGGAGGAUCUCCAGGGGAAGAAGUGAAAAAACAUGAGAGGAGGAAUCUGAAAGAAUUCACUCCCACCCAUCUACAGGAGAUUCCUAGAAGCAUUUUCAGUCUGAAGGUUUCAAAAAAAUCCACUCAACUUCUCAAAGGCAAGGUCAAUUCUGGCAGGUUGAUUUUAAAGCAGCAAUGGUGUCUAGCUGGAAUCUCUCACAAGGCUGGAAUGUUAGAAGUAGACCCAGGAGAGAAGUUUUAAUGUACAAAAUGCAGGUGAGGCAGCCAGAAAGACAUGAUGAAUGCAAUUUAUCCCAGGGCUCUGCAAUUUAUCACAAUAGAAUCACAGGAAACAAGCAAAACAGAGAAGUAGAUAGCUAGACUGGAUAGAUUGAGAUUCUCUGUGCAUGGAACUUCUUUGAAAUAUGCCAAGGAGAUUGCAUGUUACAUGUUCAGAUUUUCAAACAGUAUUUUAUUGAUGGAAUAGAGCUGUGUGUUUGUAGGUUUGGGGUCCUUUUCCCCAGAAAAGGAAAAGAUGUGUUAUUCUGAAGAAUGAAAAAAAGCUAAAAUUAUAGGAUGCUGUUUUUCUUCACUUGGUUUUAAUCCCCUUCUGGAGCAGCCCUGGAUACGUGCCAGGAGGUAGGGGUUUCCAUGUGCAAACAAAGAGCCUGUACUUCCCAGCUACCCUCCUCUCUGCUCAGUUUUCACGUUCAGGUGCAUGAAGCUCCACACACAGAAGCAAUUUCAAUCUGUGAGCUACUUUUGACAAUGUGCAAGUGAUCAAAACAUGCUCACAGCAAACACACUCCUUCCUCACUUCCCCUGCUUUUGUGGGUGCCUGUCCCAAAACAGGUCUGUUCUAUCAAGGUAACAGCUCUGAGUUUUACAGCAGCAGCAGGGCUGGCGCAGCACCGCGACCCAGAGCAUUGCUGCAGUGCUGGGUAUUCCCCACCGCCCACAAAGCAGGGCCCUUGCAGCUUUCCAAACAGUGCAUGUGCUAUUUAAAUUGCUUCACUGGGAGGAGAAUUAUGUGUUCUGCAAUGCCUCAGGACAAUGAGCCAAAGGAACUAUAGAAUAUGAGCUUGGUGUUAGAGCUGGAGCUCUGCAAUGCUCUGCUUUGUGUGUGUUUU
rnacentral:lncRNA from 1 species